UACGUAGGGUCCGAGCGUUGUCCGGAGUUACUGGGCGUAAAGCGCGCGCAGGCGGCCUCGCGCGCCCGACGUGAAAGCCCCCGGCUUAACCGGGGAGGGUCGUUGGGGACGGCGGGGCUUGAGGGCGGGAGAGGUCGGUGGAAUUCCCGGUGUAGCGGUGAAAUGCGUAGAUAUCUGGAGGAACACCGGUGGCGAAGGCGGCAUCCUGGACCGGCAUUGACGCUGAGGCGCGAAAGCCAGGGGAGCAAACGGG
rnacentral:rRNA from 1 species